rnacentral:lncRNA from 10 species
GUCAGGGAAGUAAGAGAUAAAAACAUUUUUGGAUCUUCUCAGGAGCUCUUUCUGAUAUAAACGCUAUGCAAGGACACACAUUCCAGAGACACGCCCCAUCCAUUCGGCUGCGCCGCUGCCAUGGGAGGCCAAAGAAGCCUGCAGCUGUAAGCCUGGGAGAGUGACAGAAGAAGAGACCGGUCGGGGUGAGCAGUAACCCACGCUAACAGAGCUUAGUCAAGCAACCAGUACCGGCCAACGGACAGUGAAACUGAAAGAAAACUUGCAGAGCUUUCAUGGAAAGUCCAUCAGUGAAAACGGCCUGGAUGAAUAUGGUGUAAACUGUCUCCCAGGCCCUGUUUCGUUUUUCCUUAGGUGUCAGUGGGAAACUACACAUUUGCCGAAUCAAUUUUCUCUGCUACUCAGAGAAAAGCAUCCUUUGAGAUUAGCAACAUAAGAAGAUAUACAUAAUUAAAUAAAUAAAUAAAUAAGGAAAAACAAUGCACAAGUUUCGAGGAUUAGAAGGACAAAAAUUAAACAAGAAAAAUAAAUUUAAAAAAAUAAAAGAAAGAGAUUAGCAGCGUGGAAGCAGAUGGCACAGGGAGGAGGGGGCAGUGGCCCCCAGAUGGGCUGUGGGAGCAAUGUCAAGGUUGGAGGUGGUGGGAGAAAGGUGGAAUCUCUGUAGCCUGAUAGAGGUUGAAGAUGUCUUUACAAAGCUAGUGUACUUAAUUAUUUGUGGGGAACAAAGGGUCUUCCUGAUCCAUACAAAGUAUACUCUCUUUUUAACAAUCAGGGUAACCUAAGACAGAUGAUGAGGACCUUCCAAAAGUCAGUCACUCACCAGAAUUCCAAAGUGCCAGGUUGCCUGAUGA